AUUGAACGCUGGCGGCAGGCCUAACACAUGCAAGUCGGGCGAGCGGCGGACGGGUGAGUAAUGUAUGGGGACUGCCUGAUGGAGGGGGAUAACUACUGGAAACGGUAGCUAAUACCGCAUACCAUCAGAUAACCCAUAUGGGAUUAGCUAGUAGGUGAGGUAACGGCUGACCUAGGCGACGAGCCCUAGCGGGUCUGAGAGGAUGAUCAGCCCUGCGGGGACGGCGAUACGGCCCAGACUCCUACGGAGGGAGAAGUGGGGGAUAUUGCACAAUGGGCGAAAGCCUGAUGCAGCGACGCCGCGUGGGGGAUGAAGGCUUUCGGGUUUUAAACCUCUUUCGCUAUCGAACGGUUAGGUGGAGAAGAAGCGCCGGCUAACUACGUGCCAGCAGCCGCGGUAAUUC
rnacentral:rRNA from 1 species